CUAACACAUGCAAGUCGAGGGGUAACGAUGUCUUNGGACAGGCGACGACCGGCGCACGGGUGCGUAACGCGUAUGCAACCUACCUUNAACUGGAAGAUAGCCCCGAGAAAUCGGGAUUAAUACUCCAUAAUAUUUAUGAGUGGCAUCACUUAUAACUUAAAGCUCCGGCGGUUAAAGAUGGGCAUGCGUGACAUUAGUUUGUUGGUGAGGUAACGGCUCACCAAGACUACGAUGUCUAGGGGUUCUGAGAGGAUUAACCCCCACACUGGUACUGAGACACGGACCAGACUCCUACGGGAGGCAGCAGUGAGGAAUAUUGGGCAAUGGACGCAAGUCUGACCCAGCCAUGCCGCGUGAAGGAUGAAGGCCUUAUGGGUUGUAAACUUCUUUUAUACGGGAAUAAACUUAGCUAUGUAUAGUUAACUGCAGGUACCGUACGAAUAAGCACCGGCUAACUCCGUGCCAGCAGCCGCGGUAAUACGGAGGGUGCAAGCGUUAUCCGGAUUUAUUGGGUUUAAAGGGUCCGCAGGCGGACUAAUAAGUCAGUGGUGAAAUCUCUCGGCUCAACCGAGAAACUGCCAUUGAUACUGUUGGUCUAGAGUGUAGUUGGCGUAGGCGGAAUAUAUCAUGUAGCGGUGAAAUGCUUAGAUAUGAUAUAGAACACCGAUCGCGAAGGCAGCUUACGAAACUACAACUGACGCUCAGGGACGAAAGCGUGGGGAGCGAACAGGAUUAGAUACCCUGGUAGUCCACGCCGUAAACUAUGAUUACUCGUUGUCGGCGAUACACAGUCGGUGGCUAAGCGAAAGCGAUAAGUAAUCCACCUGGGGAGUACGAUCGCAAGGUUGAAACUCAAAGGAAUUGACGG
rnacentral:rRNA from 1 species